rnacentral:tmRNA from 1 species
GGGGGCGUACCGGAUUUCGACGGGGACUUUGAAGUCGGAUAAGCGAGUAGCGUGCAGACCGCUUUAACCUGCAAACUUUAAAAUUAAACGCUAACAAUACUGAAUUAGCUGCUGCCUAACUUUGGCAGCCGUUCCCUGCGGGAGUACUGCGACCUGCAACGGAGCGUCGAUUAGCAGUGAACGAUAACCCCCGGUAUCGGGAGAGGGUUAUUGAAUAAUUCCGGUUGUUCCGCCGUGAGCUUUGCUCAUUGUGUUCACGGCGGCGAAAACGAACGAUGAAGCUACACUCGUAGAAAGUCCCAUGGAAGGGUUUUCGGACACGGGUUCGACUCCCGUCGCCUCCACCA